GGCCAUGCCCAUGGCUAUGGAAGUUCCAAGGCCAGGGACCAAAUCCAAGCCACAGCUGCAGCCUGUGCCACAGCUGUGACAAUGCCAGAUCCUUAACCUGCUGCACCACAGUGGGAACUUCUGUUUUGCUUUUUUUUAAUUGCCAUCUUAGCAGGUGCUGAAGUGGCAUUUCUUUGUGUGUGUGUGUGUGUGUGUGUGUGUGUGUGUGUUUAAACUUUGUUAGAGUAUAGUUGAUUUACAAUGUUGUUUUAGUUUCAAGUGUACAACAAAGUGAUUCAGUUCUACAUAUACACGUAUCCAUUCUUUUUCAGAUUCUUUUCCUAUAUUCAUUGUAGCUUUAACUUACUUUUCUUUGACAAAUAAUGAUGUUGAGGAUCUUUUGAUGUUUUUUACAAGCUAUUCUAUAUCUUCUUUGGAGAGAUGUCAGUUGAACUCCUUUGUCUAUUUGUUAAGGAAUUUUUUGUCCUUUUUUUUGUUGAUUUCCCAACUUUUGACAGGAAACACAGCUAACUGAAAGUUGCUGUUUCAUGUAGAAUAGUCUCAAAAGCAAAAACUAGAAGACUCAACUCAAAAUGGUUUAAAUCAUCAUAACAUUUUUCAAAAAAAAAUGUUUGAGUGGUUACUAUAUGCCAGGUAUGGUUCUAACAUUUUCCAUGUAUUCAUUUAAUUCUAACAACACCACAGGGUAGCUACUAUCAGUAUCUCCAUUUCACAAAUCAGGAAUAAGAGAACUAUGUUCAAUAUCGGGUGAUAAACUAUAAUGGAAAAGAAUAUGAAAAAGAAUGUAUGUAUGUACGUAUAACUCAAUCACUUUUCUGUACAGCAGAUAUUAACACAACAUUGUAAAUAAACUAUACUUCAAUAAAAUAAGAGUUUGAACCUGGGAAGUCUGACUUUCUCAUCUCUGAGUGACUUGGUAAAUAAGAUUAUUUUCUCACGUAAUAAUAAGUCCUUGGGGCAGUGGUACCAGCCCGAUUGGCUUAGCAGUGAAACAUAAUUCAGGAAUCAUGAAAAAGGCUGUCCUAAGCUUUUUCUUGUCAUGAAAAAGGCUGUCCUAAGCUUGCUGCCUUUGCCUUAAGAAUGUCCCCUUGUGGUCACAAAAUCGCUUCAGCAGCUCUAAGCAUCAUAUUCUUUCCAGGAACAUCCAAAUACCAGAAAUAGAAGGUCUCUUUAGUUUCUUCUUUCUUAAGAGGAAGACCUUCCCAGAAGUCUUUCUGGCAGACUUCCCACUGGCCAGCAUUGUGUCACCUGCCCCAUGUUAAACCAGUCACUGACAAAGGGAAUAGAACAACACUUUAGAACAAAGAUGAACCAGGAUGUGUGCCAGGACACUCCAGUGAGGUCCAGGCUCCCAGAAUCAUCUGCCGCUCAAUUCCUGAACAGAAUUGGUUUUCUGUUAACCAAGGAGUAGUACAUCAUGGUUUUUGGGUUGGUGACCAUUGUUCCGUCGCUUUGUCAUUUGCCUCGUUGAAGGUCAAGGUCAGUGAUGUUUUCUCUGUGAGCUGGUGAUUCUUCACUCUUGAUUUCUCCUGAGCCCUUUGUCUGAUUCCUUUUAGCCCACCAAUGCAACGCAUGCAGGAGAAUUUGAACCUCUGUCUCACAACUAUUUGCAACACCCCGUUUGCCAACUUUUCUCCUGCCUCCUUUUCCCUCUGCCAAGCCCAGGCGCACAUGUUUCUUUAGCCUGCCCUUUGCGUGUUCACACUGAUUACAAAUUUAAACUGUAAGCCCCAACAUUCACAAAAAUCCUCACUUCCCUAUGUAAAAAUUCCCCAAAGUAGUGCUUAAUUUCACAUGCUUAACAAAUCCUAAAUCCAAAAGCAAAAGCCAAUUUACUUUUGUGCUGAAACUAAAGCCCGACAAAGCUCUUAGCUUUGGGGACACUCAUGGUGUCCUGGGCAGCACCUCAUAGCAGGGAUUUAAGUUAGGGAUCUCCCUGAUAUUUCAAGUGUCAUCAAACUCUCCUGGCUAAAAAGGAGAAAACUUUCUUCCACAUUUACAAGGGUUGCGACAACCACUCCAAGUGGCCAAAGCGAAGUAAUCCUGGGACAAAUCAUUUAAUUCCAUGUUCAUAUAGUGGAUACACUGCCUGGAACAUUUGUGAUUUUACCUUUUGCUUCCUUUUUCUGCACAUUGCCCCUAAGCCCCAUUUUAUUUAUUUUUGAAAAUGAUUUUAAUUUUUUCCAUUAUAGCUGGCUUGCAGGGUUCUGUCAAUUUUCUACUAUACGGUAAAGUGACCCAGUCACACAUACGUAUAUACACUCUUUUUCUCACAUUAUCCUCCGUCAUGAUCCAUCACAAGUGACUAGAUAUAGUUACCUGUGCUAUACAGCAGGAUCUCCUUGCUUAUCCAUUCCACAUGCAAUAGUUUGCAUCUAUUAGCCCCAGAUUCCUAGU
rnacentral:lncRNA from 1 species